rnacentral:rRNA from 1 species
CAAUAGCGUAUAUUAAAGUUGUUGCAGUUAAAAAGCUCGUAGUUGGAUUUCUGGUUGAAGCGACCGGUCGGGCGUUGAUUCGUCUGCACUGGAGUCGGUUUUGGCCAUCCUCUAGGAAAGUGCGUCUGGUAUUAAGUUAUCGGGCGUAUGAUCCUGGUCUUUUACUGUGAAAAAAUUAGAGUGUUUGAAGCAGGCCUUCGCCUUGAAUACAUUAGCAUGGAAUAAUAAGAUAGGACUUUGGUCUAUUUUGUUGGUUUGCAGACCGAAGUAAUGAUUAAUAGGGAUAGUUGGGGGUAUUUAUAUUCCGAUGUCAGAGGUGAAAUUCUUAGAUUUUCGGAAGAUAAACUUAUGCGAAAGCAUUUACCAAGGAUGUUUUCAUUAA